rnacentral:rRNA from 4 species
UACAGAGGUCUCAAGCGUUGUUCGGAUUCAUUGGGCGUAAAGGGUGUGUAGGUGGCGCGCUAAGUCGGGUGUGAAAUUUCGGAGCUUAACUCCGAAACUGCAUUCGAUACUGGCGUGCUUGAGGACUGGAGAGGAGACUGGAAUUUACGGUGUAGCAGUGAAAUGCGUAGAUAUCGUAAGGAAGACCAGUGGCGAAGGCGGGUCUCUGGACAGUUCCUGACACUGAGACACGAAGGCCAGGGGAGCAAACGGG